UGCUAGACGAGUUUGAUCCUGGCUCAGGACGAACGCUGGCGGCGUGCCUAACACAUGCAAGUCGAACGAAGCAUAGUAAUAUGCUUAGUGGCGGACGGGUGAGUAACGCGUGAACAAUCUGCCCUGUACAAAGGAAUAGCCUCGGGAAACCGGGAUUAAAACCGUAUGACACUUUAAUGCCGCAUGGUAGUAAAGUCAAAUUGAUUAAGAGGUAUAGGAUGAGUUCGCGUCUGAUUAGCUAGUUGGUAAGGUAAGGGCUUACCAAGGCGACGAUCAGUAGCCGGCCUGAGAGGGUGAACGGCCACACUGGAACUGAGACACGGUCCAGACUCCUACGGGAGGCAGCAGUGGGGAAUAUUGCACAAUGGAGGAAACUCUGAUGCAGCGACGCCGCGUGAGUGAAGAAGGUCUUCGGAUCGUAAAACUACUGUCCUUGGUGAAGAUAAUGACGGUAGCCAAGGAGGAAGCCCCGGCUAACUACGUG
rnacentral:rRNA from 1 species